GUGGCUGUCUGUGUGCGCGCGCGCAUGAGUGUGUGCGUGUGUGUGUGUGUGUGAGAAAGAGAGAGAGAGAGAGAGAGAGAGAGAGAGAGAGAGAGAGGAGAGAGAGAGAGAGAGGAGAGAGAGAGAUGCGUCUGAAUGGCAAUGCAGGUUGACGGGGGAAAGGGUUUCUUCCCAAAAAUGCAAACCAAGUUCCCAUGGACUGAGUCCUCCCCCAAAACAUACAGAGGUGGAGAUGAAUUCGAGGCGAGAUAGGCAGAUCUGGCUGUAAAUAAUCACUGCAUCCACUUAAGCUGCCUUCCUCUGCUCUCUCCUCCCGCCCCCCACUCCCGCCUAAACCAGAUGUAGCUGAACGGGAAUCCUCUUCGCAAAUAUGGGUUACAAGCGUCUCCUAGCGGCCAUAGGAGCUCAGUGCAUGCAGGUUGCUGCUCGCAGGAGUCCUGAAAGAUAAGACCCUUCUUUACAGCCUCUGCUUCUUUCUCUUGAUUUUCAAGACCUAUGAAGAGGAUCAUCCAGCCAUUUGAGAAAGAAAAUUGGCGAUACGCUUUCGGAAGAAGUCUCUCUGUGACCCCAAGUCUCCACUGCUUUUCUCCGGCCGGAGCCGAACCACUGCACGGACCUUAUCCUAAGGAAAAUAUAUUUUGA
rnacentral:lncRNA from 1 species